rnacentral:rRNA from 1 species
GUCUGCAACCCGACUCCACGAAGCUGGAUUCGCUAGUAAUCGCGCAUCAGCCACGGCGCGGUGAAUACGUUCCCGGGCCUUGUACACACCGCCCGUCAAGCCAUGGGAGCCGGGGUACCUGAAGUGCGUAACCGCGAGGAGCGCCCUAGGGUAAAACUGGUGACUGGGGCUAAGUCGUAACAAGGUACC